GUCUACUACUAUACCACCCUGAAUGUGCCCCAUCUUGUCUGAUUGCAGAAGCUAAGCAGAGUCUGGCCUGAUUAGUACUUGGAUGGGAGAAUUACAUGAAAAAGACAUGUGGUUGCAAAAC
rnacentral:rRNA from 1 species